AAACUAACAAGGAUUCCCCUAGUAACGGCGAGUGAAGCGGGAAGAGCUCAAAUUUAAAAUCUGGCGGUCUUUGGCCGUCCGAGUUGUAGCCUAGAGAAGUGUUUUCCGCGGCGGACCAUGUACAAGUCUCUUGGAACAGAGCGUCAUAGAGGGUGAGAAUCCCGUCCUUGACAUGGACCCCCGUCGCCCUGCGAUGCACUCUCGAAGAGUCGAGUUGUUUGGGAAUGCAGCUCAAAAUGGGUGGUAAAUUCCAUCUAAAGCUAAAUAUUGGCGAGAGACCGAUAGCGAACAAGUACCGUGAGGGAAAGAUGAAAAGCACUUUGGAAAGAGAGUCAAACAGUACGUGAAAUUGUUAAAAGGGAAACGAUCAAAGUCAGUCGCGUCUGCCGGGAUUCAGCCUUGCCUUCCGCUUGGCGCAUUUCCCGGUCUGACGGGCCAGCGUCGAUUUUGGCCGGCGGAUAAGGGUCGGAGGAAUGUGGCUCCUCACGGAGUGUUAUAGCCUCUGGCCGCACACGUCGGCUGGGAUCGAGCUUCUCGCACGGCACGCCUCUGGUGGUGCCCGCGCUGGCGUAAUGGCUUUGACCGACCCGUCUUGAAACACGGACCAAGGAGUCUAACAUGUCUGCGAGUGUUUGGGUGAAAAACCCGGGCGCGUAAUGAAAGUGAUGGUUGGGAACCCUUCGGGGGGCACCGACGCCCGUGGCAGACCUACUGUGACGCACACGAGGCAGAGCAUGCAUGUUGGGACCCGAAAGAUGGUGAACUAUGCCUGAAUAGGGUGAAGCCAGAGGAAACUCUGGUGGAGGCUCGUAGCGAUUCUGACGUGCAAAUCGAUCGUCAAAUUUGGGUAUAGGGGCGAAAGACUAAUCGAACCAUCUAGUAGCUGGUUCCUGNN
rnacentral:rRNA from 1 species